GGCGUCAUAGCUCAGUUGGGAGAGCAGCAGACUGAAGUUUCAUCCUCCCGGUUCUUUAUCUGAAGGUCCCGUGUUCAAGCCACGGUGAUGCCA